AUUGAACGCUGGCGGCAUGCCUUACACAUGCAAGUCGAACGGUAACAGGUCUUCGGAUGCUGACGAGUGGCGAACGGGUGAGUAAUACAUCGGAACGUGCCUAGUAGUGGGGGAUAACUACUCGAAAGAGUGGCUAAUACCGCAUGAGAUCUACGGAUGAGAGCAGGGGAUCGCAAGACCUUGUGCUACUAGAGCGGCCGAUGGCAGAUUAGGUAGUUGGUGGGAUAAAAGCUUACCAAGCCGACGAUCUGUAGCUGGGCUGAGAGGACGAUCAGCCACACUGGGACUGGGACACGGCCCAGACUCCUACGGGAGGCAGCAGUGGGGAAUUUUGGACAAUGGGCGAAAGCCUGAUCCAGCAAUGCCGCGUGCAGGAUGAAGGCCUUCGGGUUGUAAACUGCUUUUGUACGGAACGAAAAGCCCCGGGUUAAUACCCUGGGGUCAUGACGGUACCGUAAGAAUAAGCACCGGCUAACUACGUGCCAGCCGCCGCAGUAA
rnacentral:rRNA from 1 species